rnacentral:rRNA from 1 species
GACGAACGCUGGCGGCACGCUUAACACAUGCAAGUCGAACGAGCGAUGAGAGCUUGCUCUCAAAGCUAGUGGCGGACGGGUGAGUAACACGUGAGCAACCUGCCUUUAAGAGGGGGAUAACGUUUGGAAACGAACGCUAAUACCGCAUAAUAUAAGGAGUUCGCAUGGACACCUUAUCAAAGAUUUACCGCUUAGAGAUGGGCUCGCGUCUGAUUAGCUAGUUGGUGAGGUAACGGCUCACCAAGGCGACGAUCAGUAGCCGUACUGAGAGGUAGAACGGCCACAUUGGGACUGAGACACGGCCCAGACUCCUACGGGAGGCAGCAGUGGGGAAUAUUGCACAAUGGGGGAAACCCUGAUGCAGCGAUGCCGCGUGAGGGAAGAAGGUUUUCGGAUUGUAAACCUCUGUCUUCAGGGACGAUAAUGACGGUACCUGAGGAGGAAGCUCCGGCUAACUACGUG